GGAGAGGUGCUGGAGCUGGUCGAACAGGGCCCCCUGCUAAGGGGUUAUACCGCCAAAAGCGGUAUCGAGGGUUCAAAUCCCUCUCUCUCCG
rnacentral:tRNA from 2 species